AAGAUCCCAAAACCAAAAUGCCCAUAAGUUAGAAGGUAAGAUUCCUACUACUGACGACCAAGUAAAUUCCUCCACUUAUCCUUCAAAUCCACCUCGCUCCUAUCAGCGAAAACAACAGGGUAUGAAUUCUUGAUAUCUUUCCAUGAUUUUCCAUAUUCUUUAACUCCUUCCCUCAAAGCUGCCACUUCUUCAGAAGUCCAGAAUUUCAUUGGCCUUCUGGGACGCGGUCUUUCUAAUCUUCCUUUCUUCAACGGUGAUACAUUCAGAGGUUCCGGGGUUGGUAGAUGAGGCCUGACUCUUCUAGACGAUGAUGUUCCCUCACUAUCUUCUGCAUCAGUCCUAUUUGCCCCAUCAGGCUGAGGAGUGACAUCAACUGAAUGCUCCAUUGCAUUGUUAGGUUCUUGAUCUUGCCUUGUUAUAGGGUCGAUGAGUCUUUGAAUCUCCAACAAAAAAUCCUUAAGCUCUCGAGCUACCAACAUUUCCCCCUUAUUAAGACUUGGCUCGUGUUCCUGUUCAUGUUCAUUCACCUUACCAACCCCAUCAGGAUUCUCCACACCACCCACUUCUUCAACAUCAUUAGCUUUCUCUCUAUUACCUCCUCUCCGGGAAGCAUAUGGUGAAUCCUUACGCUUAAGAAACCUCUUUCGAGCUUCUGAUUCAAGAGAAGAACAUCCAAGUAGUGCCCACUGCUCUUUGAGAAGCUGAUUAAGAUGAGAGAUGGCAUUGUACCUGAUGUUAGUCUCACGAAUCUUCUGGUAAAUCUCAGGUUCCUCAAACGCCUUGUUUAGAUCACUCUCCCAUUUCAACAACUCACGAGUCACCAAGUCGCUCUCUUUCUCCUUCAAUGUCCCAAUCCGAUUCCUCCAAAUCCUCUCAAGGGCAUCACCGAAGAAGCCAUCCGAAGCAUUCACUGGCCACAUAAACCUAAGCGUGCAUUCCACAGCAGUCCAGCAAUACGCAGAUUUGAGAGAUCCCAUGAUAACCGAAUGUUCCUGUAACAGAAGCUUCUCAAGAAUUUCGAGGAGAUCAAGCAUUCCUUCGUCUACGGUACCUUGAAUCAUGGAAUUGGAGAUAUCCCGCAAAACAGCAGUUAGCUUGAGUUUUACACAGUCGUCGGAAUCUACUGGUUUCAGAGCCGAUAACAGUGGAAAAGCGUAAACCCUAGGAUUUAGUUGGCGUCGGAGGAAAAAUUCAGCUACCCAUUUGUCCAUCACUUCCAUUUCC
rnacentral:lncRNA from 1 species